GACGAACGCUGGCGGCGUGCUUAACACAUGCAAGUCGAACGGAGUGUCGAACGGGUGAGUAACACGUGGGUGACCUUCCCUGCACUUCGGGGUAAGACUGGGAAACUCGGUCUAAUAUCGGCUAGUGUGGGAUGGGGCCGCGGUCUAUCAGCUUGUUGGUGGGGUAAUGUCCGACCAAGGCGGCGACGGGUAGCCGGCCUGAGAGGGUGGACGGCCACAUUGGGACUGAGACACGGGCCAGAGUGCUACGGGAGGCAGCAGUGGGGAAUAUUGCACAAUGGGCGGAAGCCUGAUGCAGCGACGCCGGGUGGGGAAGGACGGCUUUCGGGGUGUAAAGUCCUUUGACCAUCGACGCGGUAGAUGGAGAAGAAGCACCGGCUAACUACGUGCCAGCAGCCGCGGUAAUAC
rnacentral:rRNA from 1 species